GCCAGGAUGGCCGAGUGGUCUAAGGCGCCAGACUUAAGAUCUGGUCCUCAACGAGGGCGUGGGUUCAAACCCCACUCCUGGCA
rnacentral:tRNA from 1 species